rnacentral:tRNA from 1 species
UCCUCCGUAGCUCAACAGCAGAGCAUCCGCUCGAUAAGCGGCAGACCGUGGUGCAAAUCCACGCGGAGGGA